AAUCUAUUACCCGAAACAUUUCUGAUUCAAUCUCUCUUUCUCCCUCUUUAUCGUCUAGCCAUUUCCCCCUCUAUGUUCUCUCUUUCAAAACCCUAAAUUACCGCUGCCGCUAUCGCCAUAUCUCCACCACCGUGUACAUCCAGUUCACCGUUCAUCUUCUCAGGUUCACGUUUUUAUACCAGACUGCACAGAUAUGAUGGUUAGGGUUUCAUUAUCCAUGUUGCAUUUGAUCCACAAAUGAGUAAGCAUGAUGGUCGUGUUUCUAUUUCAGUUGUGUUACGUUGUUCCUGUAAUUACUAGAGAGGAGAAGAUGGAAAAGCUUAAGACAAUUGAUAGUGUCUUCUUUGAAUUAUAGGCAAACAUGUAAAUCACUUUGUUACAUCAAGAUACCAAUUCUUUUAGAAUCAUCAACCUAUGAGGUUUCGUCGAAGCUUUGUAGUCUGAAUAAUCUUGAAUAAAGUCCUCAUCCACUGCUAUUAGAGUUGAGUGGGAGUCCGUCUCUACAAUUCUACCUUUUUCCAUGACGAUUAUGGUAUCCGAGUUUUUGACUGUGAUUCGUGAUUCAUGAAGAUAUUAAAUAUACGGGAAAUACUUGAUUUGAUUUGUUAAUGGUUAUUUGAAGUUGGAUCUUUGGGCUUUAUCUAUUGUGUGUUAUUUUCCAUUACUAAUUUCUUGACGAGAUAUGCGAUGACAAUAAUUUUCACUUGAUAGGCUCCAGCAAAUUAUGGGCUCAUGCCGUACCGCAUGCCGCCAAUGCUGAAUCAAGCUGGUUACCUCAAUAUGAUGGACAGAUUAAACAAAUGCACUCUAACAAGGCUCUCGCUGACACUUUUAAGAAUGUUGUAGAGCCACGUCUUUAUUUUCUAAUCCAUAAUUUUAUAUAUGUUGAUGUGAACUGUUUUAACUAAAUGUUUAUGAUCAUGUUAUUUUUCCUUCAGAUUUCUGGCCAUGUCAAGAAUUAUAUGAUUCGAAUCCUGUAGCGGUGCCAUUAGAUGAUCAUAUACAUAGUGAACCUUCCCCUUGACGGUAUUGAAGAUUUGGUCCAUGAAUUAAACAAAGGUUGGAGUUCUUGGAGCAUGAAGAAAGCACAGUUAAAUGAAAAAUUAUAAACAAGAAAUUAGGAGUGAAAUAAUAGAGUUCAAAUUGUGAAAGUUUAUUUUGAGUUCUUUCAUCAAUGUCUUGAAAUAUCACUAUAUGAUAUUAUGUAAAGAAAAUUAACUGGCAUGUCAUUUUGAUUACAAAAACAGGAAAAAUAAAUAUUUGUUGUGAUAUUGUAUAUAUGACUGUCAGCGAGAACUUUUCUAUUUUUUUUUCU